rnacentral:rRNA from 1 species
AGCGAACGCUGGCGGCAGGCCUAACACAUGCAAGUCGAGCGCCGUAGCAAUACGGAGCGGCAGACGGGAGAGUAACACGUGGGAACGUGCCCUUUGGUUCGGAAUAACUCAGGGAAACUUGAGCUAAUACCGGAUAAGCCCUUCGGGGGAAAGAUUUAUUGCCAUUGGAGCGGCCCGCGUCGGAUUAGCUAGUUGGUGAGGUAAUGGCUCACCAAGGCGACGAUCCGUAGCUGGUCUGAGAGGAUGACCAGCCUCACUGGGACUGAGACACGGCCCAGACUCCUACGGGAGGCAGCAGUGGGGAAUAUUGGACAAUGGGCGCAAGCCUGAUCCAGCCAUGCCGCGUGGAUGAUGAAGGCCCUAGGGUUGUAAAGUCCUUUUAACGGGGAAGAUAAUGACGGUACCCGUAGAAUAAGCCCCGGCUAACUUCGUGCCAGCCGCCGCCGUAAUAC